rnacentral:rRNA from 1 species
UACGUAGGCAGCGAGCGUUGUUCGGAGUUACUGGGCGUAAAGGGUGCGUAGGCGGUUGUUUAAGAUUGGUGUGAAAUCUCCCGGCUCAACUGGGAGGGUGCGCCGAAUACUGAAUGACUAGAGUGCGGGAGAGGAGAGUGGAAUUCCUGGUGUAGCGGUGAAAUGCGUAGAUAUCAGGAGGAACACCGGUGGUGUAGACGGCUCUCUGGACCGUAACUGACGCUGAGGCACGAAAGCGUGGGUAGCAAACAGG